rnacentral:rRNA from 1 species
GGGUUGUGAGGUUAAGCGACUAAGCGUACACGGUGGAUGCCCUGGCAGUCAGAGGCGAUGAAGGACGUGCUAAUCUGCGAUAAGCGCCGGUAAGGUGAUAUGAACCGUUAUAACCGGCGAUUUCCGAAUGGGGAAACCCAGUGUGACUCGUCACACUAUCAUUAACUGAAUCCAUAGGUUAAUGAGGCGAACCGGGGGAACUGAAACAUCUAAGUACCCCGAGGAAAAGAAAUCAACCGAGAUUCCCCCAGUAGCGGCGAGCGAACGGGGAGGAGCCCAGAGCCUGAAUCAGCAUGUGUGUUAGUGGAAGCGUCUGGAAAGGCGCGCGAUACAGGGUGACAGCCCCGUACACAAAAGCGCAUGUGCUGUGAGCUCGAUGAGUAGGGCGGGACACGUGGUAUCCUGUCUGAAUAUGGGGGGACCAUCCUCCAAGGCUAAAUACUCCUGACUGACCGAUAGUGAACCAGUACCGUGAGGGAAAGGCGAAAAGAACCCCGGCGAGGGGAGUGAAAAAGAACCUGAAACCGUGUACGUACAAGCAGUGGGAGCACAGGUUUACCUGUGUGACUGCGUACCUUUUGUAUAAUGGGUCAGCGACUUAUAUUCUGUAGCAAGGUUAACCGUAUAGGGGAGCCGUAGGGAAACCGAGUCUUAAUUGGGCGUUAAGUUGCAGGGUAUAGACCCGAAACCCGGUGAUCUAGCCAUGGGCAGGUUGAAGGUUGGGUAACACUAACUGGAGGACCGAACCGACUAAUGUUGAAAAAUUAGCGGAUGACCUGUGGCU